UGUUGUUUUCCAUGGCUCUGUUUGACGUUUGUAAAAUGAUUUUAAUUUCUAUUAACGAUCGAUUAUGUCGCGAAACUGAGGUUAAAUGCAGAAGACAACUAUAGUUCAUGAAGAUUAAUCAUGACUAGAUACAAGGUAUAACAGUUAAUAUUUUCUUGAGUUAUUAUUUUAAUUAAUGAUUCUUAAUCCUAAUAAUAAUUGAAAAUUUUUUAUUUAUUUUAAUAUUUCAGAAUAAUUCGCAGUAAUUUUGCAGGGAGUUCAAUGAAAAUAUCUUAUAAUAGAAGUCAAUUGUUUGAAACAAUUUACUUUAAAAAAGUGGCAAAUAUAUUGCUACAACAAAUUUUUCUCCAACAUUCCAUUCAAGAAUUAGGCAAUUUUGCCUGUUCCAGCUUCAAUGGUCACCUCAAUGGUAUUUGUUUGGAAAUAAGUAAUAUAAAACCUUCAAUCUUUUUCUAGCAAUUUCCUUUAAUUGAACUAACAUUUUCAGCUAUGUUUGAUGGCCUUUCUUUGGAAACUUUGGAACUUUCAAGUUGAAUGUUAUUUUUUUUUACAUGGACAAGGAUUUUUGUUUCACCCCUAUCUCUUAACCUGUCCAGCUUGUCCUGUCAGUUGCCUGCAUAUGCUACUGUUGUAGUCUCAGAAUUAUGCAAUCCUCUUUACCAAGCCAUAAGCCUUUGUCAAAGUACAUCAUGGGGAAGGCUAAUUGCUAUGACAAACUGAAACAUAAUUCAGUCAUAUUUUGAUAUGUCAUAGCAGUAUAACUAUACGAAAGUUAGAAAUUGGAGAAUUGGGCAAAAAUUCUUCACUUAUAAAAAAAGUUUUAUUUAUCUAGACAUAAUCUACAGGUUAAUGUUUUAUAAAUUAUUAUUAUUAAUUUAUUUUGGCUAAUUUGACUAACUUUUGUCAAUAAUUUUUAUUUUUUAAGUAUGUACUGUACAUUUUAGACAGUAUCAACAAAGUAAUCAGCUUAACACAAAUAAAUACAUUUAAGUACAUUUACUGUCACACAUUGUUUGAAACUAAUCUAUUUAUUUAUCAACUCAAACAAUGUAAGACAAUAAAUUAAUGUUAAUCAUUUAUCAAUAUAUCAUUAGACAAUGGAUAUAGAUAAUCAUUGCUCUAGAAAUGUAAUUUCAUGAAUUGAUGACUAACAAAUUUACUAAUAAACAUCUGUCAACAAACCAGAUGAUGACUUGAUAUUGCUGACUUUCAACUAUAGUGAGAAAAAUUGUGCAGUUGGUAUCUAGAGUGAGAAGA